rnacentral:rRNA from 1 species
AUGAACGCUGGCGGCGUGCCUAAUACAUGCAAGUCGAGCGAACAGAUGAGGAGCUUGCUCCUCUGACGUUAGCGGCGGACGGGUGAGUAACACGUGGAUAACCUACCUAUAAGACUGGGAUAACUUCGGGAAACCGGAGCUAAUACCGGAUAAUAUAUUGAACCGCAUGGUUCAAUAGUGAAAGACGGUUUUGCUGUCACUUAUAGAUGGAUCCGCGCCGCAUUAGCUAGUUGGUAAGGUAACGGCUUACCAAGGCAACAAUGCGUAGCCGACCUGAGAGGGUGAUCGGCCACACUGGAACUGAGACACGGUCCAGACUCCUACGGGAGGCAGCAGUAGGGAAUCUUCCGCAAUGGGCGAAAGCCUGACGGAGCAACGCCGCGUGAGUGAUGAAGGUCUUCGGAUCGUAAAACUCUGUUAUUAGGGAAGAACAAAUGUGUAAGUAACUAUGCACGUCUUGACGGUACCUAAUCAGAAAGCCACGGCUAACUACGUG